GACGGACGCUGGCGGCGUGCUUAACACAUGCAAGUCGUACGGUAAGGCCCUUUCGGGGGUACACGAGUGGCGAACGGGUGCGUAACACGUGAGUAACCUGCCCACAACUUUGGGAUAACGCUAGGAAACUGGUGCUAAUACUGGAUAUGUGCUCCUGCUGCAUGGUGGGGGUUGGAAAGCUCCGGCGGUUGUGGAUGGACUCGCGGCCUAUCAGCUUGUUGGUGGGGUAGUGGCCUACCAAGGCGGCGACGGGUAGCCGGCCUGAGAGGGUGACCGGCCACAUUGGGACUGAGAUACGGCCCAGACUCCUACGGGAGGCAGCAGUGGGGAAUAUUGCACAAUGGGCGCAAGCCUGAUGCAGCAACGCCGCGUGCGGGAUGACGGCCUUCGGGUUGUAAACCGCUUUCAGCAGGGACGAAGCUUUUUGUGACGGUACCUGCAGAAGAAGCACCGGCUAACUACGUG
rnacentral:rRNA from 1 species